rnacentral:rRNA from 1 species
GAUCAACGCUGGCGGCGUGCCUAAUGCAUGCAAGUCGAACGGGGUGGCCUUCGGGCCGCUUACGUGGCGGACGGGUGAGGAACACGUGGGCAACCUGCCCAAUGGUGGGGGAUAACCGCUGGAAACAGUGGGUAAUACCGCAUGAGCUCUUUGACCGAGUGGGGUCUGGGAGGAAAGCCUUCGGGCGCCGAUGGAGGGGCCUGCGUCCGAUUAGCUAGACGGUGGGGUAACGGCCUACCGUGGCGAUGAUCGGUGGCUGGUUUGAGAGGAUGAUCAGCCACACGGGGACUGAGACACGGCCCCGACUCCUACGGGAGGCAGCAGCAAGGAAUUUUCCGCAAUGGGCGCAAGCCUGACGGAGCAACGCCGCGUGUGGGAUGACGCUUUUCGGAGUGUAAACCACUGUUCAUGGGGACGAAGCACUGACGGUACCCAUGGAGGAAGGCCCGGCUAACUACGUGCCAGCAGCCGCGGUAAAAC